rnacentral:rRNA from 1 species
AUUGAACGCUGCGGCAGGCUUAACACAUGCAAGUCGAGCGAGCGGCGGACGGGUGAGGAAUGCUUAGGAAUCGGCCUAUUAGUGGGGGACAAGAUCUCGAAAGGGAUGCUAAUACCGCAUACUAAUGGAAGAGCAUAUGUCGGAUUAGCUAGUUGGUGGGGUAAAGGCCUACCAAGGCGACGAUCUGUAGCGGGUCUGGGAGGAUGAUCCGCCAACAUGGGACUGGAAAAAGGCUCCAACUCCUACGGGAGGCAGCAGUUGGGAAUAAUGGACAAUUGGGGGAACCCUUAUCCAGCCAUGCCGGGUGUGUGAAGAAGGCCUUAUGGUUGUAAAGCUCUUUAAGCGAGGAGGCGUUACUCGCAGAAUAAGCACCGGCUAACUCUGUGCCAGCAGCCGCGGUAAUUC